UGGGGAAUAUUGGACAAUGGGGGCAACCCUGAUCCAGCCAUGCCGCGUGAGUGAAGAAGGCCUUAGGGUUGUAAAGCUCUUUCGACGGGGACGAUGAUGACGGUACCCGUAGAAGAAGCCCCGGCUAACUUCGUGCCAGCAGCCGCGGUAAUACGAAGGGGGCAAGCGUUGUUCGGAUUUACUGGGCGUAAAGGGCGCGUAGGCGGAUAUUCAAGUCAGAGGUGAAAGCCCUGGGCUCAACCCGGGAAUUGCCUUUGAAACUGGAUGUCUUGAGUAUGGGAGAGGGUGGCGGAAUACCCAGUGUAGAGGUGAAAUUCGUAGAUAUUGGGUAGAACACCAGUGGCGAAGGCGGCCACCUGGCCCAUAACUGACGCUGAGGCGCGAAAGCGUGGGGAGCAAACAGG
rnacentral:rRNA from 1 species